AUUUACUUGGCAGAUAAUGCAUUAGAUUUAGGAUCUACUAAUAAGAGUUAGAGUCCCUUAGUAAAUA
rnacentral:tRNA from 1 species